rnacentral:snRNA from 1 species
AUCUUUGCGCUUGGGGCAAUGACGCAGCUAAUGAGGUACUAACCGAGGCGCGUCUAUUGCUGGUUGAAAACUAUUUCCAAACCCCCUCCUGGGCCUAAGCUUGUCUUGGGCCCUCGAGAAUUUCUGGAAGGGCUCCCUUUGGGGUAAAGCC